UGCAGCCAUAAAGGCUGGCAGGAUUUUUCUUUUUGCACAUUUCAUGUUUGCACAAAUAAAGAUGUUUUAUUUAUAUUUUGUACUUGAAAAUAUUGCACAUUUUGUAUGACGAUUAUGACUAUUAAAAUUAUGUUUUAUUAUGGAGAAAGAUUGUACAUUGAAUGUGAAAUGCACUCAAACUCCCACGAUGCAUUGUAGAUGAUGAUGUCACUUCCUCUUCAAAGUUAAUGAAUGAAGGCUACUACUAGCGUUGAUGGUUUUGGCAUGGAGAAAGGGUAGCGUUUGUUUAGCUCCCACAACUUUACCUCAAGUGUGUCUGAAGCACAAGGCUUCAUCAAGUUUUACUCUAAGCUGAAAGUUGAAGUCAACAUUUUCCUCUUGGUCUAUAACCCGGCAAAGUGUUCUACGGUGUACAAUAAAGAAACACAUCAGUA